rnacentral:rRNA from 1 species
AGUGAACGCUGGCGGUAGGCCUAACACAUGCAAGUCGAACGGCAGCACAGUAAGAGCUUGCUCUUACGGGUGGCGAGUGGCGGACGGGUGAGGAAUACAUCGGAAUCUACUUUUUCGUGGGGGAUAACGUAGGGAAACUUACGCUAAUACCGCAUACGACCUACGGGUGAAAGCAGGGGAUCUUCGGACCUUGCGCGAUUGAAUGAGCCGAUGUCGGAUUAGCUAGUUGGCGGGGUAAAGGCCCACCAAGGCGACGAUCCGUAGCUGGUCUGAGAGGAUGAUCAGCACCACUGAAACUGGGACACGGUCCAGACUCCUACGGGAGGCAGCAGUGGGAAUAUUGGACAAUGGGCGCAAGCCUGAUCCAGCCAUACCGCGUGGGUGAAGAAGGCCUUCGGGUUGUAAAGCCCUUUUGUUGGGAAAGAAAAGCAGCAGGUUAAUACCCCGCUGUUCUGACGGUACCCAAAGAAUAAGCACCGGCUAACUUCGUG